rnacentral:misc_RNA from 1 species
GCUCUCCUAUUUAUGUUUCAUCAAACGUACAAUUACUAAUAAGCAUAAAAGACAUGCUUUUGUAUUUGUUUUAUCCACAUUAGAAUUGCCAUUACUAACAAGUUUUACUUGCAUUUAGUUACGUAGUAUUUUUCUCAACAUUGCCUCUAUCAAGAUUAGUGAGACUGUGCAGCUGAUUGAAGAAAUCUUGCAAUUUUAACAUUUUUCUUUGCAACUGGACCAACUAAUGGAAAAAUUUGUUCUGGAAACAAAAAAGGCAGGUUAAGUUUUUAUCGCUGCCGGUUCAAUUUGCUAGCUUAUUUCGGUUACUGGGCUAGAUGAAGCCCAAGUAAGGAAGCUUGGAAACUUCAUUGUUAAUCCUGCUUGGGCACUUGUUUGAUUUUCUUGGAUCUGUUGGGAGCUCUGUUAUGACAAAUUAGAAUCCAGUAGAAGAAAAUCCUAUUCAACUAUUGAAUUUAAAGUUCAAUAUAUAUAUAUAUGCACAAAACCCAAUAAAAAAUAUUUAAUGUUUAUGUAUAAUGGUGAUGCUCAGCUAUCCAACAAAAU